rnacentral:tRNA from 1 species
GGUGGUUCAGUUGGUUUGUUAACUGGUUUGCUACAUCAUAGAUGCAGAUUCAAAUCCUGCAACCACCG